CUGUACAUUCCACAGGACUUUCGCACCAUAUGUAAAUAAGGUGUGCCCUGUAACCACUCAUCUGCUUCUGUGAGCCUGCUUCUGCCUCCCCAAACCCUAUAUAAGCUGCAUUAAAUCCAGCCCGGCAUGCUCAGCCUCCCGAAGGGCAGCAGCCAUGGUGAGUCAACAACAAAAGGUGGUGAUGGCCGGACAGUAAUUCAGUCACAUUGAGAGUACAAGACUCAGCCGUUGCUGACAGCAGAGUAGUUAUCCAGGGGACCAAGAGAACAGAAACUAGUGCCGAUUAUUUGACUAAUGUCUGCCUGCCUACUUUGUCUGUAUGUCUGUCCUCUCCCCCCCCCCUUUUUUUCCUUUCAUGACAAGACAAGAUUUUUAAAAAAUUACUCUUGACCAGUUAAGAUAGAAACAACAGGUUGGGUGUAGCUGCUGAUCCAUUGUCUGGGAACCAUAUGCAAUGUCACUCACUGUAUUACCCCUGUCUAUUUAGGCAGAGGAAUGUGUGGUGGCCACUCCCAGUGUGUGUGUGUGUGUGUGUGUGUGUGUGUGUGUGUGUGUUUCUAUAUGUUUCUGUAUUGAUCAGUAGCUUUCACCGGUAUUAGAACCUCUCAGCUUAAGUAUUGUGCCCGUCCUGUUGGGGACCAGAAUCCUUUUAUCUGUUCCAGGUUGCCCAGAGAAAACCCCUACACAAAACAAAAACAAACAAAACAAACACCCCACCUCCUUUCUCAUACCUGGGAGCAGGAGCACUUGCUUUUCUGUUACUUGCCCCCUGCCCAGUCAGGAUUGGUCCCUGUGUGGAGGUGGGGGCGGGCUUUCAUCCAGAGCCCCCUACCUUUUAAAAGGAAUGCGCACAGGGAGGGGAACUGGAUGGUUUUGUGUCUUUAUUCCCUCCCUUGCCUGCUCAAAGCAGCCCCAGGGAAAUGAAAAAGUUCCCCUGGGUUGAGCCCAAAGGAAAAGAGAAAGUUCCACUCCUUUCUCUUUCAUGAUUUAUGUCCCCUUUCCAAGCAGCGAUCUACGUUUAUUGGAAAACUGAAAAUCCCCCAUUCUCCGAGAAGAGUAGAAAAACCAUCCGUGGGCCAGGCAGGGAGAAACACUGCCAAACCUUGCAGACUGGACUGAAACAGAUUUUCCCUUCUGCUCAACACGACCAAUGAAAUCUUAAACACCUUUUACUUUUAAAAAUAAUUAAAGAUAGCUGCUAGAAAGAUUUCCUUUGUUGGGAGCAGGAGAGAUGGCUUAGAGGUUACGAGCGCUGACUUUUUCUAGAGGACCCAGGUUCAGUUUCAACAUUCACAUGGUAGCUCAUUACCUUUCAUAGCUCCAGCCCCAAGGGAUUCAAUGUUCUUUUCUGGCCUUUGCAGACACAAGGCAUGUAGGUGGUACACAGACAGACAUUGAGGAAAAUCACCCACACACUUAAAAUGACAUCACACACAUUUAGAAAGAAAAAAUAUUUCCUUUGUCGCCCAGUCAGCCUCAGAUAUUAGGGAAAAAGUUAUAAAAAUUAGAGGUAAAAGUAGGUGCCGGUUGCUGGAGGUUGCUCAAAGGCUAUUUAGCAACAGAUUGGUACAAGACCUUUUGCAAAACUGAAAAACCGCCAUUACCUUUGCUGAAUGUGAGACACAGACUGACAGAUACCCAGCAAACGUUUGGUGUCUUACCCUCUGUCAGAAGGAUAUCUCCUAGGUGAAAGAGGCUCCUAAUCAAAAGAUACAGCUGGACCAUCUCUCAGAUUGACAACAAAGAUUCCCAGGGGUAUGGAAAGAAACUAACGCCCAAGGACUGGCCCAACACCAAAUUCCCUUAAUGUUCAACCCACCAGUUCCGCUGCCCUCAUCCAAAUCAAACAAUAUCCAAUGACCUUGGAAACAAAAGGUGAAAUUGCCAUCCUCAUUGCCUGGCUGGGAGAUGCAGGCAUCGUGGUAUCUUGCUAGUGGCACUGGAAUACACCUCUCCUGUCUGUAAAGAAAGCUGGGACUUCUGAUUCUCAUAAGUUUGAGUCUUGCAGAGAAACACGUAUACACUGACCUUGACCUGAAAGAAGCAUUCUUGGGCUUCCUUUCGGAGGAGGUGAGUCAACCCAUCUUUGUUUUAAAUGGACAGACCCCAAAGAGAGGUUACAGCAGGCAACUUACAUGGACCAUGUUGCCUUAAAGAUUUAAAAAUUCACCAACUCUGUUUGAGUUAAUCUCUUCAGAAGUUUCAGGAAAUCAGAAGUUUCUCAGGAAAAUAGAUUAUAAAAGGGUGACUGAAGGCCAGCUGCCAGAGUCACAGAUCUUGGGCAACAAACUGUCAGCUAUAAAAGUCCAACUCCACCUAGGCACUCUGCACGUAUGUUACGGUUGUGUAGCUUGGUCCUCUUGUGGGACUCCUAACAAUGGGAACAGGGGCUAUCUCCAACUCUUUUUACAGGCCUUUGGGACCCCAUUCCUCAUACUGGGUCACCCUGCCCAGCCGUAAUACAUGGGCAGGUGCUUAGUCUUACUACAACUUGAUAUGCCAUGUUUUAUUGAUAUGUGUGGGAGACCUGCCCUUUCCUGAACAGAAAGAGAAGAGGAGGGGAUGGGGGGUCAGAGGGGUGAUGGAGGAGAGGUAUCUCAGCCUACAUCAUAGGACUGAUUGAUCUGAUUCAAGCUCUCAGAUGGGGAAAAGGAAGGAAAGUCCCCCAAUCUCAAUUCUUUUACCACGGUGCAUGUCCACAGUAUGAUCUAUAGAGAAAGAGGGUUUCUCACCUCUGGGGGAAAGGACAUGAGAGAAAAAGAGAAAGCCGGGUGGUGGUGGCACACACCCUUGAUCCCAGCACUUGGGAGGCAGAGGCAAGUGGAUCUCAGUCUUAUAGAGUCUUAUAUAGCAAGUUUCACAACAGUCAGGGUUGUUACACAGAGAAACCCUGUCUGGAAAAACCAAACCAAACCAACAACAACAAACCCAAGAGAAAAUCUUGGCCUUCCUAGAGGCUAUUUGGCUUCCCUUACAAAUUGUCCUCCAUGACUGGGCCACUGCCCUGACUGCCUCACAAACUGCCCUAAGACCAGUGUGACUCAUUGAUAUUCUACUACGUACCCUGACUGGGUGUUGCCUGAGACUCCAUGGAAAUGAAAAAAUGGACAGCUCGAGCCCACAGGCUGCUGGGGACCACCAGAGGGAAAGAAAGACCACUCUAGGAAAUAACUGGCAGGACUCUGGUAACUAACCUUCACCAUGCUACUCAUCUGGGGUCUACAAAACUUUCUGAGUUGCUCAGAGCAAGGAAUGUUGUACCUAGACUGGACAGCAGUGCCAGAGAUCUCAGCCAAAUUCAAAUAAACCCAAAACAGAGAGAGCCUUUACCUAGAAGGGGUCUGAACGAGAUACCACCCAGAACUCUGGGAAAACAGACUGGCCUGCUUAUGCUUAGACAUCUGGCCCCUGUGCUACAUAGGAAUAGAAACGAACCAGACUAUCAGCCCAUUGACAAAACUCACUGUGACUGGAGACAGCCCAAAUUAGUGCUAGAGGAUGUAUAAGAGGCUAAAAGUUGUCUAAUGUACAAAACCUUUAGCCCGGGCUCUUCCUUUAUCCUGAUGCCUGCUGUUCUGCCUUCCCGGUUAAUUCAUCUGGAUAAUGUGGAGUAUUUGCUUAACCAGGCAAACAUGUGUUACAUUUGUUCACGCUGCAUUUGCUAACUCUGUAGAGUUAAUUAAGUAAAAUUAACCUGGCUUCAGAGAGGUGGGGUUUGCAGCUGGUUGACCGGAAGUAGCAGGGAGGAGGCUAGCUUGGGUGUUUUUUUAGUUGGGGGUGUGUGGAAGGGAGUGGUUCUGGAAGCCAGCAAAGAGAGUAAGCUAGCAGGUUGUUAUUCAAAAUCACUGCGCUCAGUUUUUCACCCUGUGAAUCUUGAGUUUUAUUAGAACAAUAGAUACUUAGUUAGAGCCUCCUUUAGUGACAACAACAGAACCAUUGUCUGGGGGAACAGAAUUCGCCCCAGGCUUCUAGGCGUUUAAAGCGCAGGCACUGUGACAAAGGAAGGUAAUAAACAGCCCCUGAGAUUGCUCUGUGGGCAUAUACUAAUGGCCUCACUCAAUGUGCUUCUUCUGAUGCUUUCCAAACUAAAUAGACAGGUUGAUCAGGACCUAGAGCUAUUAAAAUGACAGAUUCCCUUGCAGAAAUGCUCCUACAGAAUAGGGGAGGCUAAAACUUUCCUUUCAUGAGAUAAAGAAAACUAUGCCUGACUUUGGGAAAAAUCUGUUGUUUCUAUGCCACUUGGUCAGGAGUGACUAAAAGUAGUCUUGCCGAGGUUAAAAAAAAAUCUAGGGGUUGGAGAAAUGGCUCAGUGGUUGAGAGCACCUUCUGUUCUUCCAGGGGACCCAGGUUCGAUUCCCAGCACCUACAUGGCAGCUCACAAUUGUCUGUAAGUCCACUUCCAGGGUACCUGUCACUGUCAUACAGAUGCAGGCAAAAGCACCAAUGCACAUAAAUAAAAGAUUUUUAAAAAUCCAUUCUAUUUCCCCUUCCCAGAGAAAUUCAUGCAUCCCACCCCCUUGAUCCCUGCUGGUUACUUAGCCUCUGUUGGUCUGCGGAUUGUUUCGUGGUUAUCCUUUACUUAUAAGUUAAUACCCACUUAUAAGUGAGUACAUGCCACGUUUGUCUUUCUGGGUCUGGGUUAUGGUCAGGAUGUAAUGUAUGAGAAACAAACAAACAAAGCAAAAGAAUCGGGCAUUGGUAACACAUGUCUUUAUCCAGCAUUCAGGAGGAAGAGGCAGGCCGAUCUCUGUGAGUUUUAGGCUAUCCUGGUCUACAGAGUGAGUUCCAGUACAUCCAAGACUACACAGAGAAACCCUGUCUUUAAAACAAAAACAAAGAGAUAAUAAGCACACGAGAGAGACAUUAAUAAAUGUUUUUAAAGACAUUAAUUAAUGGCUAAGUGUUGUUGUUAACUAAAGUAUGUCAACCCCCAACAUGUUUGUUUGUGCUUAAAAGAGCACCCUGAGAAAAGCUCAGUGCCACACUGGGAUCCCAAAUACCCAAUGUAUUCGAAGUCUGAUUCGUUUUAUGGGACUCUUGGCCUUUUGUGAUAUGUGAACGAUGAUAACCUUCCACCAGUUGCAGAGAACUGACAGCAAUACAAGUCCCUCCUCCUAGACUAAAGAGAGCUCUGUCCAGCGGAGAUUUGUUCAAUGCCUCCUUCCAAUUGCUGAAGAAAUGGCUCAGUGGUUGAGAGCACCGUCUGUUCUUCCAGGGGACCCAGGUUCGAUUCCCAGCACCUACAUGGCAGCUCACAAUUGUCUGUAAGUCCACUUCCAGGGUACCUGUCACUGUCAUACAGAUGCAGGCAAAAGCACCAAUGCACAUAAAUAAAAGAUUUUUAAAAAUCCA